UCUGCUUUUUAACGACAAUUAAGACAUUUGGGUCAGUUUUAGGAUUGUGUUUGCAUUGCCGACUAUAAGAUGUUCCUCGGAGGACUAUUGAAAAGUCAGAAAACCAGCAGUUGAUUUGUACAGUGUGACACAGCAGUUCAUGCCAUGGUCUCCAGCUUCAAUCCUGACCCCUGGAGUUUGCAUGUUCCAUCUGUUACCGCAUUCAGUUACCCUGCGUAGUUUCCAUCCACACCACAAAGAUGUGUGUACAGUGAAGUCGGGGUUCUGUCAGAGUCCGUGAUCUACAGUUCUUUGCAAGCGAUGGAUUUUUGGACUGGCUGUGUGGCCUGGCGCUUUGCUAUCUCCAGGAAAGGCCUGGAAGAUGAGCGCCUUCGGAGAGCGGCCCUGUAGACAAUUCAGUUCCUCACUGGUUUCACCGAAUGAAGCGUCGCCCUCAAUGGGGAGAGACUGCGUCCGUACAUCAGAAAGAUUCACAAUCAGGAAGGAAGGCCUCUGACAGUGUGAGAUCGGCGAAGGAG